GUGUUGCCUGCAAGGGCGUAUGGUGGAUGCCUUGGCAGACAGGACCGAUGAAGGACGUUUGAGGCUGCGAUAUGCCUCGGGGAGCCGCCAACAGGGCUUUGAUCCGAGGAUUUCCGAAUGGGGGAACCCACCGGCCGUCAUGGGCCGGUACCGCCGUGUGCGGGGGUACGCAGGGAAGUGAAACAUCUCAGUACCUGCAGGAAAGGAUAUUCCGUGAGUAGUGGCGAGCGAAAGCGGAUCAGGCCAAACCUUGCGCGUGUGAUACCCGUCGGGGGUUGCGCGCGGGGUGUAGAGGGAUCGCGUUUGCCGGCUCCGACGGGCCGGCCGUCAGUUGCAUAAAACCAUGUGCCAGGGGAACCGGGUUGAAUACCGGGCCGCAGAGGGUGAGGGCCCCGUACCCGAACGCGCAUGGUCUGGCGAUCGCGUCUCCCAAGUAGCACGGGCCCCGUGGAAUCCCGUGCGAAUCUGUCCCGACCGUGGGAUAAGCCUAAAUAUUCCUGUCUGACCGAUAGCGAACGAGUACCGUGAGGGAAAGGUGAAAAGUACCCCGGGAGGGGAGUGAAACAGUCUCUGAAACCAUGCGCCUACGAACCGUCGGGCCCUCUUGUGGGGUGACGGCGUGCCUAUCGAAAAUGAGUCUGCGAGUCAGUGGCAUGUGGCGAGCAUAACCCGUGUGGGGUAUGCGUAGCGAAGGCGAGUCUUAAAAGGCGUUUGAGUCGCGUGUCCUGGACCCGAAGCGGGAUGAUCUAGCCCUGAGCAGGUUGAAGCGCGGGUAAGACCGUGUGGAGGACCGAACCCACCUGGGUUGAAAACCGGGGGAUGACUUGGGGCUAGGGGUGAAAGGCCAAUCAAAUUCCGUGAUAGCUGGUUCUCUCCGAAAUGCAUUUAGGUGCAGCGUCGGAUCGAUUACAUCCGGGGGUAGAGCGACUGGAUGCUUGCGGGCCCAUAUCGGGUACCAACAGCAACCAAACUCCGAAUACCCGUGAUGCGUAUCCCGGCAGUGAGUCGGCGGGGGAUAAGCUCCGUCGUCGAAAGGGAAACAGCCCAGAUCGUCGUCUAAGGUCCCCAAGCGUGUGCUAAGUGGGAAAGGAUGUGGAGUCGCAUAGACAGCCAGGAGGUUGGCUCAGAAGCAGCCACCCUUGAAAGAGUGCGUAACAGCUCACUGGUCUAGUGGUUCCGCGCCGACAAUGUAGCGGGGCUCAAGCACACCACCGAAGACGCGGCAGUAGCUUUGCUACUGGGUAGGAGAGCGUCCCAUGCGGGGCGAAGCGGCGGCGCAAGCCCGCCGUGGACCGCAUGGGAGUGAGAAUGCAGACAUGAGUAGCGAAAGACGGGUGAAGAUCCCGUCCGCUGGACGACCAAGGGUUCCAGGGCCACGUUCAUCGUCCCUGGGUGAGUCGGGUCCUAAGGCGAGGCCGACAGGCGUAGUCGAAUGGACGAACGGGUCGAUAUUCCCGUACCGGCAUGCAACCGGCAAAACCGAAUCCGCGAGUACUAACUUCCGGGUCCGGGCUUACGUCUCCUUCGGGAGCCGGAUGCCCUGGCCUGUUGGGACCGUAACGGUAGUAGGUCAGCGCGGGAGUGACGCAGAAGGGUAGCCGGCCGCGGAGGUGGUCUUCCGUGGUCAAGCACGCAGCCCGUCCCACAGGCAAAUCCGUGGGGCGCGUGGGCGAGGUGCGAUGAUGGGCGCCGCAGGGCGCGAUAUCCGGUGAUCCCGGCUGCCGAGAAAAGCUUCGGCGUGAGGCGGCAUGCCGCCCGUACCCCAAACCGACACUGGUGGUCAGGUAGAGAAUACCAAAGCGAUCGAGCGAAUCCUGGUCAAGGAACUCGGCAAAUCACUCCCGUUCCUUCGGUUUAAGGGAGACCCCCGAUGGUGAAGCGGCUUGCCCGCGGAGCUUUUGGGGGUGGCACAGACCAGGGGGUAGCGACUGUUUACCAAAAACACAGGAGCGUGCGAAGGCGCAAGCCGCUGUAUACGCUCUGACGCCUGCCCGGUGCCGGAAGGUUAAGAGGAUCCGUCAGGCCUCGGCCGAAGCGGUGAAUUCAAGCCCCGGUAAACGGCGGUGGUAACUAUAACCAUCCUAAGGUAGCGAAAUUCCUUGUCGGGUAAGUUCCGACCUGCACGAAUGGCGUAACGACUUCCCCACUGUCUCGACCAGGAGCUCGGCGAAAUUGCAGUACGAGUAAAGAUGCUCGUUAAGCGCAGAAGGACGAAAAGACCCCGGGACCUUUACUAUACCUUGGUAUUGGCAUUCGGUGUGGAUUGUGUAGCAUAGGCGGAAGGCUUCGAAGCCACGGCGCCAGCCGCGGUGGAGCCGCAAGGUGAAAUACCGCUCUGUUCGCAUUGGAUGUCUAACCUCGACCAGUCAUCCUGGUCAGGGACAGUGCCUGGCGGGUAGUUUAACUGGGGCGGUUGCCUCCCAAAGAGUAACGGAGGCGCUCAAAGGUUCCCUCAGCCCGGUUGGCAAUCGGGUGGCGAGUGUAAGUGCACAAGGGAGCUUGACUGCGAGACUGACGGGUCGAGCAGGGACGAAAGUCGGAACUAGUGAUCCGGUGCCGGUGUACGGACGCGGCAUCGCUCAACGGAUAAAAGGUACCCCGGGGAUAACAGGCUGAUCAUUCCCAAGAGUCCAUAUCGACGGGAUGGUUUGGCACCUCGAUGUCGGCUCGUCGCAUCCUGGGGCUGGAGCAGGUCCCAAGGGUUCGGCUGUUCGCCGAUUAAAGCGGCACGCGAGCUGGGUUCAGAACGUCGUGAGACAGUUUGGUCUCUAUCCUCUGCGCUCGUCGGAAUGUUGAGGAGGCCUGCCCAUAGUACGAGAGGACCUGGGUGGACGAACCUCUGGUAUGCCGGUUGUCACGCCAGUGGCACGGCCGGUUGGCUACGUUCGGAAGGGAUAACCGCUGAAAGCAUCUAAGCGGGAAGCCUGCUCCAAGAUAAGCAUUCCAUAGGACUACGGGUCCUUGAAGUCCCCAUGCAGAACACGUGGUUGAUAGGCCGGACGUGGAAGCCCCGCGAGGGGUGGAGCCGACCGGUACUAACGGACGAAAGGCAACACAACAAUCCAACCCCGGUUGG
rnacentral:rRNA from 1 species